rnacentral:ncRNA from 1 species
AAAAAAGGAGCACCUGCGGGGUACGCAGAUGCUCAAUUGGGAGAGGAGAAACCGGAGGAAGAGCUUAUGGGGAAACGUAAGUCUUCUCCGCGG